UUCGUUUCCAAAAAUUCCCUUAUGUCCGGGUACCCAUAGAAGGUUUAAUCCAUUGCCUUCAGCAAGUUCUUCGAUUGCUUUCCGGCAUGCGAUUACCAGUUUUGAUCUAGAACUGGAAGCACUGAGUGAUUUGAUAGCUGCUUGGCUAUCUGAACAGAAAUAAAUUGUUCUGAACAUAAUCUUCUUUUGAAGUGCAAUUUGCACUCCAUACAUAAUAGCAUAUAGCUCAGCCUGAAAGACUGUACAAUAUUUUCCUAGAGGUUGAGCAUGUUCUAUGUUCAACUCGUGACAGUAAAUUCCUGCACCUGCACGGCCGUUUGAUAAUGAACCGUCAGUAUAGAAUACAAUAUGAGAGGACAUUUGGUCCUCUACGAAACCUGAUAACCAUUCUUGAGGAGAAGGAAAUUUGACUUUAAACCCCAUGUAGGGAAAACUACUCGAGAGUGUUAAAUCGUUUGGCGCUAGAUUAAACUUGUUUAAUUUAACUAAUUCAGGCCACACAUUUGUAUGACUCGAUGAUCUUUCGAUAUUUCCUGACAGCCAGAAACCAACUGCCUGUAGACGAAAAGCACAUGAGAAGGCUUCCUGUUUUAGGAACAAGUGUAGAGGUUUGAUAGAAAACAGAGCCUCUAGUGCUGCAGUAGGAGUUGUAGUGAACGAUCCGGACAUCCCUAAGAGACACAUUCUUUGAAGGUGAUUUAGUUUAGUCCGAACUGUUGCAACUUCUCCUUUCUGCCACCACACUAGACACCCAUAGGCCAGAAUUGGUCUUACUAUUGUGGAGUAAAUCCAGUGAAUAUGUUUGGGUUUGAGUCCCCAGUUUUUUCCGAUUGCACGUCGGCAUUGUCCGAAGGCCAUGCAUGCUUUUUUGAUUCUGAAUUCGAUGUGAUCAGACCAGUUUAAUUUGGAGUCAAGAAUGACACCCAAAUAUUUAACUUGAUUAGACACGGUGAUUUCGGAACCAUAAAACAGCAGAGGGCGCACCCCGCGGGUGAUACGUUUUUUAGUAAAUAAAACAAUGUAAGUUUUUAGAGGAUUAACUGAAAGUUCUACAUGAGAACACCAUCGUUCAACAGAGCGCAGAGCUUGUUGCAUUAUAUCAAAUAAUGUGCUUAUGCACAAACCUCUUACCAGCAGAAGAUAAUCAUCUGCGAAUCCAUAGGUUGGUAUUCCACGGUCAUUGAGUUUUCUCAACAAACCGUCUGCAACUAGGUUCCACAAAAGAGGUGAUAGUACACCUCCCUGUGGGCAACCACGUGUGCUAACUUUUGUUAUUGAAGCCUGUCUUAAAGACGAAUGAAGAUUCCUGUUACUUAGCAUUGCGCUAAUCCAGUUAGUUAUAACACUAGGCACUCCAUGAAGUAGUGCCGCAUCCAUUAUUGAUGUAAACGAGACAUUAUCAAAUGCUCCUUCUAUGUCUAGAAAUGCUCCUAGACAUGAUUCUUUCUGUGAAAAACUAUUUUCAAUAUUGUGUACUACGUUGUGCAGAAGAGUUAAUGUUGAUUUUCCUGUUUGGUAUGCAUGUUGUGUCGCAUUAAGCGGAUGUUGGACAAGGCAUUCUUGCCUGAUAUGAUGAUCAAUUAAACGUUCAAGUGCUUUUAAUAGAAAUGAACUUAGACUAAUAGGACGAAAGCUUUUGGCUUCGUCGUAUGAUGAUCGUCCCCCUUUAGGGAUGAAUUUCACGGCUAUCUGCCGCCAAAGUUUAGGAAUAUAUCCAUGAGCAAAACUGCUUAUCAUUAUUUUCCUUAAUAUGUGUUUGAAAUGAUCGAAACCUUUUUGAAGCAAAACUGGAAAUAAACCGUCACUUCCAGGAGAUUUGUAUUGAGCGAAACCAUCGAUUGCCCAUUUGAUCGAUUCUGUAGUAACUAUUUUCCGAGCAAAAUGCAAGGAAUCUAGACUUCCAGAAAAGAACUCAGGCUCUAUCGAUGAAUCUUGAUCAACACAUCCUGGAAAGUGAGUAUUGAAUAGACAACUUAAUGUUUCUUCGUCGUUUGAUGUAUAAUCACCACUAGGGGUUUUAAGGUAUGAAACCUGAUAAUCUUUUGAUUUGGCUAAGACUUUAUUUAGCCUACUUGCUUCGUGCAAGCUUGAAAUGUUUGUGCAGUAGUUCUGCCAACUUGAGCGUUCGGCAGCUCUUGUUGCUUUCCGGUAAGCUCUGCGAGCCAACUUGAAGGCAUCAAAACCUUCCGUGCGCCUUCGGUUCCAAGAGCGUCUGCAGUUUUUUCGUAAUUUACUGAGAUUUGAGUUCCACCAUGGUGUACUGUUUUUGUUGAAUUUCAACGUUCGUACGGGACACGCUUCUUCAUAAGAAUUUAAAAUAAUUUCGGUAGUUUUUGCAACCCCGAGCAGACUUUGAUGCCUUAAUCAAUAGCAAACAGUAACCAAAAUUAGCUAUCAAUGCCAAAAUGAUAGCAUAAUAUGGUGUUAUAUUUUUACCGAUGCCAAGAUUAGGUUCCUUUCAAGUAUCAAAAUGUUUAAUUAUGAUGACAAACCAAUACCAAAGUAAGGCAUUAAUACCAAAAUGAUAGCACUAUUAGGUGUUGAUUUUGCAACGACAGCAAAAUUAGGCAUCAUUAAGGUUUCAUUCCCUUUCAUAGAUCAGAAAAAUGAUAUCAACAUGAUAGCAUGAUUUAGUAUCUAAUUUUCUGCGACAAAAAUUAAAAAUCGAAAAUUUAAAACGAGCUGAGAAAAAAACCACGAGUUCAGUCAUUACCAACAUAGUGCGUGCAUUAGUUUGUUUUGAUUUCUCUGUGAUAGCAAAACUAGGCAUCAUUUAGAUAUUUUUAUUUUAUAAAUUUUAUUUCCAUUUCGCCAUAUGCCGAACACAAACAAAGAAUAAAAAUCAAUCAAAUGAAGAUUUUAAAUUUUAAUGUUAAACACAGCUUCAAUUAAUUUACAUUUAAAACUUAAAUUAAAGCUCAAACAUGGAUUUCAACAACCUGAGAUUUUAAAUCAAUUAACCUAAACAUAAUACCAUAAUACCACAAAAAAAUUUCUUUCAUAAAUAAUGCUGUAACAGAUAUCGAACUUUUCUCACCGCACGUUGCUCUCCCUUUGAUUUUUUCCGAAAACUACAAAGUUCAAGUUAUUUUGUUCGAUGAAUCAUUCGAAAACUCAAACAGGAGAAAGAGAGGAAGUAAUAAUGUAUGAGAUAGGAACAAAUUGUAUACAAUUCUGUUAAGCAUUUCUAAAUGUGUUACAAUUUAUUGUAAAUUUUAUUUAUUUUUCAGUAUUUCCCCCUUGUGAUGUCGCUUAUCCAAGUAACAAAAGAAGGAUUUCAAAAUUGUUCAGGCCUUAUUUGAGAUUCGCAAAAAAUAUAAUGAAUAUUAUGUGUAAUUGCAAAGACAUCCUCGAGUUUAACCAAAAAAAAACUUGGAGCUUCAAAUUGAUAGGUACAUAGCUAAAAUAAGUUCCUGUGAUAUUACAGCACUGUAAAAGACUAUAGUUUUAAUCGUGGUUUUUAUUUUAUUUUCUGAGUUAUACAAAAAACAGGUUUCAAAGAGAAUUAUUUUAUUUAACUUUUUUUUUGUAAAUUUGUUUGGCACUUAUUCACAGAACCGAGCAAACGAAUGCCACGACUACCUGCACAAAAGCACAAAAUAAGAAUAGCAAUAAAUCGAGAUUCCAUCAUUUCAUAUUACAAACAAUUUUACGUUCGAAAAAGGAUUUGCUACGAAUUACAAAUAUAAUUAAUCUAUACGAUAUAUCUUUAAGCUAACACGAUUUAACAUUUCCCGGAAGAUAUGUAGCACGCACCACAUUGCUACACUGUGAUUUUUUACAGUUAUGAAUGAUUUACGUCUACAAUACUACUUUCAGCUCAACGCUUAAUUCACUUGACCCCAGAUGUAGUUGUAGAUGCAGUUGUUGAAUGAGUCGUUUCCAGCUCUUAUCUUCUUCACUGUUUUCUUUCUCUAUAUUUUUCGGUCUUUCUCAUUCUUUCUUCUGCGUAAAAAUACUUCCAUCGCCAUGCAUCUCAUGCAAUUAUGCAUCUUAUGAAUUAGUCUAAUUUUGGCAAUCAUAACCUUCAUAAAAUCUGACUCCAUGAUGUUUCGAUCUACGAAUAGAUAAAAGAAAAACAUAAGUUAGAUCUGAUUGUACUAGACACUUUUUUUCUGGAAUACUUGAAAAAAAUGCUGCAGGAUCUGGAAUACUUGCGUUUGCCAGACCUGCAAACACUUAAGAUAUCCGUUAGGUUCCGGUAUGUUCUUGCCAAGAGAGGUUAUUGACGGAACCCAUCGCUAUAACCGCACGCCGGCUGAAUAUGAACCGCAUCUUAGAUGUUGGUUAGUUUAGGUUAGUAGGUUUAAGACCGAGUGCAGCUGGUUGGUUCACCUGUAACAGCAUUAGUAGGAGGAGUGCUGGAUUAGUAGGAGGAUUUUAUGCUCAUCAGUAACAGGGUGUAGGGAAGAAUGACCCUGGCAGAUAAACUCCCUUGAAAAAAAAAAAAAAUCAUCAGUAACAACUAUUACAGGACCAUCUUAAGAAUCUUACCUUUUUGGUCCUUCUUUAGACAGCAGAUUUUCUGUCCAUAUUCCUGAGAAUCUAACACAGCAGAACUUUUGAAUAGAAGAACCAAAGGCUGGAACGGCAGACUACGGACAAGCAGUUCCCUAGACUUCUGGUAGUGAUGGUUCUCGGUCGAUAACGGAGCACUUUUCCUGAUCGUUUUGAUGGUCAACUACUUACGCAAGGGUUUUUGCAUUGACUGAUUUCCGAGCGUUUACAAAUUCAAAGAAACAUCCGAUCAGCUGCUGGCACGAUAGUUUUUUUUCUGUUUUGUUUUGAUUUUCUGUUUUGUUUUGAGUUAUGGUUAAACACUGUGUUAAAUCAUAUUGUCGUAACUGCAAGCUACAUGAAGUGAAAAUUAUUGGAAGACGUGUAAUUUUCACGCAAGUACUGCUUGAAAUUAAAGCAAAUUGCAUGGCUCUUCUUGUUACAAGAAAUUUGCUGUAAGAUUACAUAACUUGUCAUUUCUUUUUAGUUUUUUUUUCAAAUUACAAGUUCUUUUGCAAAUACACGUAUUAUUAAAUAUUUAUUGGUUUAAAAUCCCUGAGAAAAAAGAACAAAAAAAUUAAAUAUUUAUAUCAGUGUAACACUCAUGCAUUCUUGCAGCAAAUUUCCUGUAACAAACAGGACCAUUUCAUUUUCCAAACGUCACAAAUUGUCACUAGAAAUCAUUUCUAGCGUAACAUUUCAAAAGGGCGAAACUGCCAAAUGUAAACAAAUCGAGCUAACGGUCAUUCCGGAUGUACGUGGUUGCACUUUACCUAAUUAACGCGGUGUCAUCUUAAAAUCACUUAAAACUUUCAAAAAAUUGAUAAAAUUCUAUUGGGCGAAACUUCCUGUUGAUGCAUUUUCGUUGGAACGAGAAGUUACGCCUAUUCAAAAUGGGGUUAAUUUUUCUAUUCGUGUAGUGUAACUGAAUUGACCGUGUGUGACAAAACGGCUUAAUUAGUUUUUGCGUGUAGGACCUAUGGGCGAAACUUCAAAACCAAAACAAAAACGGCCGAUCAAUUGGGCGAAACUUGCAGGCGUAGCUUAGGCGUAAUAUAGAAAAAAAAGUUUAUGAUCUUGAUAACAAACGAACAAUAGGUGAAUAUAAUGCACAUUUAAGAUUUUGUUGAACAAAAAGUGUUCGAUUUUUUAAAUAGGAUUUGAUUAGAUGUUCCGAAAUUUCAAACGCGUUUUUCUCGUUUCGAGCUAACUGCUAGUUUCGCCCUUAUGAAAUGUUACGCUAGAUUUGUCCGAUAAUUUAAAUUUCACCUCAUGAAGAUUUCAAGAACUACAACGUGAUUUAACGCAGUGUUUCUAGAAAAAUCAAAACCAAAACAAACCGCGAAUUUCGAGCAAAUGCUUGCGUGCCACGAACAGUUUAAAAACGAAGACUUCCCGUAAGUUCACCAGAGAAAAGCUUCACCCGAUCGCUACAGUCAUCCGGAAGAGCCUCGUCCAACGAACCGCAUCGUUAUCGACCGGGAACGGUGAGCUUGUCAUCGUCACCAAAAGUGCACUUGGCUGCUGAUCAGAGAGCAGCAACUCCAGCGGUGUAAUUUGUCCACUGACUUCUGAUUUUCAGGAAGGCGGCCAACUCGUUCCUUUAUCCGGUGGUGUAGCAGCAAUUAAUUCCGUUGGAGACCUUCGUAGCGGAAAAUCCUCGGAUCACGGAAACUCUUCUUGAAAGGCGUCCCGGAUUCAGUUUCAACGUCGCUCAACUGAAGAUGGCGGCUAGGAUAAAAAAAAUGCCGGAAAUGUUGAAUUAUCCAUGUAACGAGGGAUCGAGCUUCCAAAUAUUCCAGGUAAAAAGCUUAACAGAGCACAGUUGGGUUGGAUGUUCGCAACACCGACCUGGCUUUUGCGGACUAGGUCAAUUUGGAAUGUUUUCGGUAUGUCAUCCAACAACGUAGGUAACAACAAUGAAGCCAAGAGUAGGAGUGGCUGGAAUCCAAUCCAGUCCAAAUCGUUGUUUUGGUGGAGCCAACCGAAUUCGACCAACAAGUUAAGAUCAACAUCACUUCAUUCUUCGGGUUUCAUGUUGGGAACAACAACAACGCUGCAGUUCCGCAACAUUUGGGAAAGCUACAACAUCGCCGGCGCUGGAAAUGCGAACCACUUCCUAUUGGUGGUAGUAUCACAACUUCUUCAUCAAAGCUAUAUUGCAAUAAUUCGAUUGUUAGUAAGUAGAAGAAUUGAUCUAUAUGUGAUUUUUUUUUCUUCAAUUUUCAACUACCUAUAUCUAUGAAUUUUAACACUUGGACUUUUUUCAUAACAUUAAA